UACGAAGGGAGCUAGCGUUGUUCGGAAUCACUGGGCGUAAGGCGCACGUAGGCGGAUGUGUCAGUCAGGGGUGAAAUCCCGGAGCUCAACUUCGGAACUGCCUUUGAUACAGCACGUCUUGAGUCCGAUAGAGGUGGGUGGAAUUCCUAGUGUAGAGGUGAAAUUCGUAGAUAUUAGGAAGAACACCGGUGGCGAAGGCGGCGCACUGGACCGGAACUGACGCUGAGGUGCGAAAGCGUGGGGAGCAAACAGG
rnacentral:rRNA from 1 species